rnacentral:rRNA from 1 species
UACGUAGGGGGGCAAGCGUUGUCCGGAAUCAUUGGGCGUAAAGAGCGUGUAGGCGGCCCGGUAAGUCCGCCGUGAAAGUCCAGGGCUCAACCCUGGGAUGCCGGUGGAAACUGUCGGGCUCGAGUCCGGAAGAGGCGAGUGGAAUUCCUGGUGUAGCGGUGAAAUGCGCAGAUAUCAGGAGGAACACCAAUGGCGAAGGCAGCUCGCUGGGACGGUACUGACGCUGAGACGCGAAAGCGUGGGGAGCGAACAGG